GUAGGCGGCCAUUCAAGUCAGAGGUGAAAGCCCGGGGCUCAACCCCGGAACUGCCUUUGAAACUAGAUGGCUUGAAUCUUGGAGAGGCGAGCGGAAUUCCGAGUGUAGAGGUGAAAUUCGUAGAUAUUCGGAAGAACACCAGUGGCGAAGGCGACUCGCUGGACAAGUAUUGACGCUGAGGUGCGAAAGCGUGGGUAGCAAACAGGAUUAGAUACCCUGGUAGUCCACGCCGUAAACGAUGAUAACUAGCUGUCCGGGUUCAUGGAACUUGGGUGGCGCAGCUAACGCAUUAAGCUAUCCGCCUGGGGAGUACGGUCGCAAGAUUAAAACUCGAAGGAAUUGACGGGGGCCUGCACAAGCGGUGGAGCAUGUGGUCUAAUUCGAAGCAACGCGCAGAACCUUACCAGCGUUUGACAUGGCUAGUAUGAUCCCCAGAGAUGGAUUUCUUCAGUUCGGCUGGCUAGCACACAGGUGCUGCAUGGCUGUCGUCAGCUCGUGUCGUGAGAUGUUGGGUUAAGUCCCGCAACGAGCGCAACCCUCGUCUUUAGUUGCCAUCAUUCAGUUGGGCACUCUAAAGAAACCGCCGGUGAUAAGCCGGAGGAAGGUGGGGAUGACGUCAAGUCCUCAUGGCCCUUACACGCUGGGCUACACACGUGCUACAAUGGCGGUGACAGUGAGCAGCUAGAUCGCGAGAUCAUGCUAAUCUCAAAAAGCCGUCUCAGUUCGGAUUGUUCUCUGCAACUCGAGAGCAUGAAGGCGGA
rnacentral:rRNA from 1 species